AGUGCUGUGCCGGAUAAACGGGCUACCUUGAUGUGGUAAAUUAUAUAGGUGAGAGGCCUUUCAGCACUA
rnacentral:tRNA from 1 species